rnacentral:lncRNA from 1 species
AUUGAGGAGCAAAUGUGUAUCUGACCUAGGACACUUCACUAACUCUUUAGUUUCACAUUAGUCCAAUUAUGAGCAAAGGCACAAAGAUACCAAGGGGCUGAGCCCUAUGGUCUAAAAUAUGAGUGACUUGCAAAGUUAGAAGGACCAAUAGGUUAUUAUUUUUUUUAAUGUGCAAAAUCACAUGGAAAUGAAGUUUUUGAAAAAUGAUUAUUGUUUUCUUUCUGGAAGCUCUGUAUGAAUGCCUGUGAGUUUGCAAAAACCAGUUCCUCUUCUAUAUAUGCCUUUCUGUCACGUGGGUAAGUUGGCAUAAUCUUCACAUCUGACAUUAGGUCCAUUGAUUUGAGAGCAUGUUAUCUUUCUAGCUUUAUUUACCUGUCACUGAUACAAGAGAAAUUUCUAAUUUCUUCUCCUUUCAACAUUUUUAGCUUUUCUCUGAAACUGGGUUAAAAUAUCUACUCUUUUUCAUGUUAAAAAAGCAGUUUAAACAAUCUCCCCCUCAGAUUCCUUUCUCUCUGUAUCAAACCUUCCCCUUCUUCCUCUUGCCUUACCACCACAUCUAAUUUCCCCCUUGCAGCCAGAUUCCUUCCUUCCCCCGCUCUUUCUCUCCUUUCUUUCCCACACUUUGAAAGUAUCUUUUAGAUUGCUUCUUCCAUUUCAUUCACAUCUUAAUAAUUCUUCAACUUUGCUUUCACUAGAGUCUGUAAUGACCUCCAUGUCCACUAUAUCAAAUGGUAUUUCCCAAAUUCCUUCAACAGC